CGUAGCCGCGGGAAUACGAAGGGGGCUAGCGUUGUUCGGAUUUACUGGGCGUAAAGGGCGCGUAGGCGGACUGAUAAGUCAGGGGUGAAAUCCCAAGGCUCAACCUUGGAACUGCCUUUGAUACUGUUUGUCUUGAGUUCGAGAGAGGUAAGUGGAACUGCGAGUGUAGAGGUGAAAUUCGUAGAUAUUCGCAAGAACACCAGUGGCGAAGGCGGCUUACUGGCUCGAAACUGACGCUGAGGCGCGAAAGCGUGGGGAGCAAACAGGAUUAGAUACCCGUGUAGUCCCUGUCUCUUAUACA
rnacentral:rRNA from 1 species